AGAUUGAACGCUGGCGGAAUGCUUUACACAUGCAAGUCGAACGGCAGCACGGGAGCUUGCUCCUGGUGGCGAGUGGCGAACGGGUGAGUAAUGCGUCGGAACGUACCGAGUAAUGGGGGAUAACGCAGCGAAAGUUGUGCUAAUACCGCAUACGCCCUCCGGGGGAAAGCAGGGGAUCGUAAGACCUUGCGUUAUUCGAGCGGCCGACGUCUGAUUAGCUAGUUGGUGGGGUAAUGGCUCACCAAGGCGACGAUCAGUAGCGGGUCUGAGAGGAUGAUCCGCCACACUGGAACUGAGACACGGUCCAGACUCCUACGGGAGGCAGCAGUGGGGAAUUUUGGACAAUGGGGGCAACCCUGAUCCAGCCAUUCCGCGUGAGUGAAGAAGGCCUUCGGGUUGUAAAGCUCUUUCAGCAGGAACGAAACGGUACGCUCUAACAUAGCGUGCUAAUGACGGUACCUGCAGAAGAAGCACCGGCUAACUACGUG
rnacentral:rRNA from 1 species